CAUACAGGUUCAGUUAAACCAGAAAUUUGUGUAUUGACACGAAGGCAUGGCACAGAAGAAGUAAGAGUGCAAUUCGAUACAAUAUUUGUUAAUGGUUGACUGUUACAUUCACAAAAAAGAAUGUACGUUUAAGUUAAUCUUGUUUGUUGGAAAAUCUUGUCUCUGAUCUUUCUAGGGUGAUAGUCUUAAUGCAAGGUGUUAUAUUAACAAUUUUGAUGAUGCGGAAAAUUUUGGAGACUUCGAAAUUUUUGAACUUUUUGUAGUAAGAGAGGGAAGAAAAUUUGAGUUAAAUCAUGACAUCAAAAACUUGGAAGGUGCUUUGUUACAGUACAUGGAAGAGAGAGGAUUAAAUGAGGCUUUAAAGCUAGGCUUGUGGCAUUUCAAAAAAAUGGAAGAAUUUAAGUGCAAAAAAGGCUUAAUUGAGUCUCUAAAAGUCCUCCAGAGCUAUGUACAGAGUUAACAAUGUACAUGUACACAUGAAUAAUGUGAUAAUUGACUCUCUAUUUGUUUAUCUACUCUAUCAAACUUUUGAGCUGCUCAUUUGCCUUGAAUAUUGAAAAAAAAA